CAGCCGCCGCGGUAAUACGGAGGGUGCAAGCGUUAAUCGGAAUUACUGGGCGUAAAGCGCACGCAGGCGGUCUGUCAAGUCGGAUGUGAAAUCCCCGGGCUCAACCCGGGAACUGCAUUCGAAACUGGCAGGCUAGAGUCUUGUAGAGGGGGGUAGAAUUCCAGGUGUAGCGGUGAAAUGCGUAGAGAUCUGGAGGAAUACCGGUGGCGAAGGCGGCCCCCUGGACAAAGACUGACGCUCAGGUGCGAAAGCGUGGGGAGCAAACAGGAUUAGAUACCCCGGUAGUCCCUGUCUCUUAUAC
rnacentral:rRNA from 1 species